rnacentral:lncRNA from 1 species
AUUUCUUGGGCUGCUCCCACGGCAUAUGGAGCUUCCCAAGCUAGGGGUUGAAUCGGAGCUGUAGCCCUCGGCCUAUGCCAGAGCCACAGCAACGCUGGAUCCGAGCCGCGUCUGCAACCUACACCACAGUUCACGGCAAUGCCAGAUCGUUAACCCACUGAGCAAGGGCAGGGACCGAACCCGCAACCUCAUGGUUCCUAGUCGGAUUCGUUAACCACUGCGCCACGACGGGAACUCCCAAAGUUUUUUUUAAGGCUAUAAUACAUUUCCAAAAAUAAAAGACCUGAAAAAAAUUACUUGGAAUGAGCUAAAGUAAUACAUCUCAGGAAGUGCAAAGCUUUAGGGUUCAACUAUCUAAUUUCCUUCCCCUUGAGCUUCCAUAUGAUUCAAAUCGAGAAAUCUUGCACAAAAUAUGUUAAGUGGGAAGAGCUAGAUUAACCUGGAUAUGCAAGGUCUUCUAAGGUCACGUGUUAUAACCACAGUUUCCCCUUUAAUAGACAUAUUCUGUUGGCCAGACUAGCAUCUUUUGGGAAAACUCCUCUCCUUGAAUCGUGUAGGGCUGAUUCUACUCCCAGGCUCAGGAAGUGUGUUUAUGACUCGUGCCUGGAGUUCCCAUUAUGGCUCAGAGGGUUAAGGACCCGACACUGCCUCUGCGAGGAUGCAGCUUUGAUCCCUGCCCUUGCUCAGUGGGUUAAGAAUCUGGCAUUGCUGCAGGCUGCGGUGUAGGUCACAGAGGCAGCUUGGAUCCAGAGUUGCUGUGGCUGUGGUGUAGGCCUCCACCUGCAGCUCUGAUUUGAUCCCUAGUCUGGGACCUUCCAUAUGCCAUGGGUGCAGCCAUAAAAGGAAAAACAAACAAUUUUAAUAAUAUCAAGAUUUGACUUUCCUCUAAAGUUAUAAUCUAUAAUAUAGUUUUGCCCAUUAAAAAUUUUUUAAUGCCAGCUAAAAUAGCCCACUGAUGUUCAGAGUCAGGAAGAAAGAAAGUCUUGGAGACUGGUGCCCUCUCUCAAGGGCUGCCUCGUAGAGGUUCUUGGGAAAGGGACAUCAUGCAACUAGAAGGAAGUGUCAGAAUGCCAUGGAAUAGGAAAGGGGAGAAACUGGAGAUUAAAGGGACAAAACCGAAUUUCCCCUGGUUGAACAUUCUUUUGCAGGACUCAGUCAUCACCAAGGCUGGAGAUGCUGAGUUGUGUUGAGGUUUGCCUUCAGCACUUCCAGAUUUUUAAAGUUGUAAUGAAAGGAUGGUUGAUUUAGAGUGCUGUGCCUAUUUCUGCUGUACAGCAAAGUAACUCAGUCAUACAUAUAAAUAUAUAUUCUUUUUAAUAUUCUUUUCCAUCGCGGUCUAUCCCAGGAGACUGGAUAGAGUUCCCUGUGCUAUAUGUAACAGGACCUUAUUGUUUAUCCAUUCUAAAUGUGAUAGCUUACAACUACUAACUUCAAACUCCCAGUUCAUCCCACUCCCUCCCCACUCUCUUUUGGCAACCACAAGUCUGGUCUCUAUGUCCGUAAGUCUGUUUCUGUUUUGUAGGUACGUUCACUUUGGCCGUAUUUUAGAUUCCUCCUAUAGCACUUCCAGCUUUAGAACAUAUUAGGGGAAAUUUCCUUGCAGUGUCUGCCCUACGAGAUGCACCCAGCAUGCACUUGCCUGCAAAGCCAUGCUGGGUUGACCUUUUUAUUAAUGAGUUAGACCUGAAGAGAAACAGGUGAAGCCCCAGCUUCUAACCUGUUUUGGCUGCAUUUAGCUGGGUUAGGUCUCCAAGGUCCAACUUUCUCUUCUGCAAAGCUGGAAGUAGGAAUGUGGGGUGUGGUUGGUACCAAUAACCUCUGUUGAACUUCUGAUUUCAAGAAGUUUCAGUUUAAUGACUCAUGAGCAGUCCCAAUCUGGCCUUAUAGCAAAUCACCCAAGGUUUCUAUUUGGCCUGUUUUUUCACGUGUCCAUCAGGAUUGUAAAACGCACCCAGCAGCCACCUUUUGGAAGAAUGUUCCCACUUCAGCUCAUGAGUGAACAGUGGUUUAAAGGAAUCAGCAUAUUUCUCACAUAGUCAUUGAUCAAGACAUAGUUUUGAAUUAUGCAUAGGUAUUUGUGUACGUGUGUGUGUAUAUGUUUGUGUGUAAGAUAGAAGCUCCUAGGUUUUGUAAAAAAUAUAUAAAAUAAAAUUUAAAAUUAGACUGACAUAGAUUUGCCCAUUUUCAUUUUUUUGUUAAUUAAGGGCAUACUUUUCCCCUCCCAUGUGAAUAGUCUUAAUUUCAGGAAGAAAGAGGUGUUUAAAUGAAUUGGUUUGAGGUGAGAAUAAUGUCAGAACAAAAUGAAUAAAUAUCUUUUUCUCAUAUCAGUGAAACAUUUGCCCUGACUAGAGUAUUGGAGCCAGCAUCAGAUGGAAUAAAAAACAAACCCCUGCCCAUCUGGAGUUUCUAUUCUAGUUUAGGAGGCUUCUAUGGACAUUUAAAAGGUUAGGUGACAAAACUUUAGUAAUGAAAUAAGGCAGUAAUAUAGAAGAUGUAUAAAUAGUAUUUGAUGAUGGAUCAAAUGCAUAAUACAGAAUUUAUGACAGAUUUCCCUGUGAGCUGGAGUAACAGGAAAAUGAAAUUCCUGAGACAGGGGUUGAAUAGGAGCUGUAGCUACGACCUACACUGCCCCUGUGGCAGUGCCAGAUCAUUUAACCCAUUGUGCUGGAUCAGGGAUCAAACACACACCUCACUAUAUUUGGUGAAAGGAGCAAGACUCAGCGGGGACUAGAUUGUGUGAUUCCAUUUACGUAAGAUUUUUCAAGACUGUAAACUAGUAUGUAGCCUAGGACUGAGGGCAGAAGGAAGGAUAAACUGUGAAGUAUCCUGGGGAAUAUUUCGAUGAGUGAAGGAAAUAAUCAUUUUCUUGCUUUUAAACUUUACUUUUUAUUGAUGUACAAUUGAUUUAGAGUAUUGGGUUAAUUUCAGGUAUAGCAAAGUGAUAUAUUCUUUUCCAGAUAAUAGUCAUUUUUAAUCACUGUUUAUUGUUUUGUUUUCAGGGGUAUAUGUCAAAUGCCCAAAUGUACUGAAUUGUAUGCUUCAAGUGAGUUGUGCACAUGGAGUGUACUUUAUUUUAUUUAUCUAUUUAUUUUUUGUCUUUUUGCCUUUUCUAGGGCUGCUCCUACAGCACAUGGAGGUUCCCAGGCUAGGGGUCGAAUCGGAGCUGUAGCCACUGGCCUACACCAGAGCCACAGCAA